AGAAACAAAACAAAACAAAAAAGGACCAGGAGAAAUAUUCUACAUCGGAUGUGCUGCCAUGAACAUAUAUUUAAAAGAUGUACAAGUUUGCGGUUGGCUUAUGGACUCAAAAAAUUUAAUAUAAGAUUAUGUUGAAAUUACCUGCUUUGAAUUGUUGCUACACGUUAUAUCAUGCACAUAAAAGAUUGCCCACUAAUAAAUUCGUUUUGGGACAUAGCAGUUAACAUAUAUGACAUCGUAGAAUUCGUCAUACACCUUGCAGACCGAAGAAAUACGUUGAUUCUUUUUGAGAACAUUACAUUAACAGUACCUGAAAUCUGACGGUUCAGUGAUAGUUGGUAAACUUGUGCCGAACCUUCGCCAUCAUGAUGGAAGACUGUUGUAUAAACUGCUGAAAGGUCAUAUGCAACUAAAGUUGCAACUGAAGAAGCUAUGUUGCGUAGAAAGAAAAUAGAAGUAACUACAUCGCAAUGCAGAUUGUACUAGUCUUUGACAAAAGGUGGAAGUUUCUUUCAAAGAAUAACAAGCCGCAAAAGAACUUCUGCAUUCUUUCCUUUCAGGGAUGAGAAGUGAUAGAAAAGUAAUGAAUUUUAGCUGUACUGAAACAAACAGUUGUGAAUUGCAAAGCAUGCGGAUUGGUGAAAUAUACCAUGCUUGGGAUCUGGUGUGUUACCUUGAGUUAGCAUCCCUUGCCUGUUGCAAGGCACCAGUUCUAUGUAUUGGCACUAUCCGCAAUAACCAAUAAUUUUUGUUCAACGUAUACAAUAAUUCAAAUGUUAUAUUUAAUGAAUUUCUUUCUGGAGCUUUUCCGUUAUUACCAUCCUCGAUUGUGGACACAAAUCUCACCAUAAAUGAUGUUAUUGCACUUCAUCAUGUGUUGUACAUUACGUAAAAGGCUCUUGCUUUAAUUUUAUCUCAUAAAAUAACAUUCUAUGAGUUGCUAUUGUUGUGGUUAAACAUUCACAUUCAAAAUGCACAGAUUAAAUCGAUGCCUUACUGCACCAUUCCACAUGAAAUUUAAUUGACAAUUUAUUGGGUUCUAUAGUGAAGCUGUGGCUAUGCUUUCAUGUUUUUGUAGUUUGUGUGAGAGCAUUGAUGUACUUGCAGUACUCCUACUUAUAACAGUAUCAAUUACCAAUUAAUUGUGGUACCAGAAUAUAAAUAGACGUCUUGGGCCACAUUUAAUGCAGUGAUCAGUACGGCACAGCUAUGUCGAAAAUGUCUCAUGUUUUAUUCAUUGUCUCUCAAAGAGGUUCUGAUGGACAUCACAGAAGUGAGAAAACAACUGCACUUUCGCAAUCUGACAGCACUGGUUAAAUGCUGUUGGUGGAAAAACAUGCCGCGUGAAUGAAAUCUCCUGCGGAGUUUGAUCAAUUACUUAGCAGUUAUACUUAGUGCUAAGGAAAUGUAAUUAUGAUGAAAGUUGUUUGUUAUGACAACUUAUUGUAAUAUUGUUUUAUAAUAACAUAUUAAUGAAGUUGCUUUUACUGACACUGUUGCAAUAAAUUGAAAAAUAAUUAAAAGUUGUUUAUUGCCAGGAAAAUUUUUCUGGGGAUUUAAAAAAUAUGUUGUGUACCAUGUCUUUGUUAACUGUGACACCUUAUCAAUAUUGUUCUACUUUUUCCUGUUUUGUUAAAAAUAUGCGAUAUCAUGUGCUCUGGAAAAGGUGGUAAUGCUGGAAGCGCCACAGACAACAUGCACGGCAAUACGAGAAAAAACUUUAUAAUUGUUCACAUUUUUUUCGUUGCUGUAUGUUGUUAACAACAGUCAACUUUUGAUAAGCAAUAAUACGACUUUACGCCU